rnacentral:rRNA from 1 species
CGGACGGGUGAGUAAUGCUUGGGAAGUCUGGCUUAUGGAGGGGGAUAACUACGGGAAACUGUAGCUAAUACCGCGUAAUAUCGAAAGAUUAAAGUGUGGGACCUUCGGGCCACAUGCCAUGGGAUGAGCCCAAGUGGGAUUAGGUAGUUGGUGGGGUAAAGGCCUACCAAGCCUGCGAUCUCUAGCUGGUCUGAGAGGAUGGCCAGCCACACUGGAACUGAGACACGGUCCAG